rnacentral:rRNA from 1 species
GAUGAACGCUGGCGGCGUGCCUAAUACAUGCAAGUCGAGCGAACGGACGAGAAGCUUGCUUCUCUGAUGUUAGCGGCGGACGGGUGAGUAACACGUGGAUAACCUACCUAUAAGACUGGGAUAACUUCGGGAAACCGGAGCUAAUACCGGAUAAUAUUUUGAACCGCAUGGUUCAAAAGUGAAAGACGGUCUUGCUGUCACUUAUAGAUGGAUCCGCGCUGCAUUAGCUAGUUGGUAAGGUAACGGCUUACCAAGGCAACGAUGCCUAGCCGACCUGAGAGGGUGAUCGGCCACACUGGAACUGAGACACGGUCCAGACUCCUACGGGAGGCACAAGUAGGGAAUCUUCCGCAAUGGGCGAAAGCCUGACGGAGCAACGCCGCGUGAGUGAUGAAGGUCUUCGGAUCGUAAAACUCUGUUAUUAGGGAAGAACAUAUGUGUAAGUAACUGUGCACAUCUUGACGGUACCUAAUCAGAAAGCCACGGCUAACUACGUG